GAUGAACGCUGGCGGCGUGCCUAAUACAUGCAAGUCGAGCGAACAGACGAGGAGCUUGCUCCUCUGACGUUAGCGGCGGACGGGUGAGUAACACGUGGAUAACCUACCUAUAAGACUGGGAUAACUUCGGGAAACCGGAGCUAAUACCGGAUAAUAUAUUGAACCGCAUGGUUCAAUAGUGAAAGACGGUUUUGCUGGCACUUAUAGAUGGAUCCGCGCCGCAUUAGCUAGUUGGUAAGGUAACGGCUUACCAAGGCAACGAUGCGUAGCCGACCUGAGAGGGUGAUAGGCCACACUGGAACUGAGACACGGUCCAGACUCCUACGGGAGGCAGCAGUAGGGAAUCUUCCGCAAUGGGCGAAAGCCUGACGGAGCAACGCCGCGUGAGUGAUGAAGGUCUUCGGAUCGUAAAACUCUGUUAUUAGGGAAGAACAAAUGUGUAAGUAACUAUGCACGUCUUGACGGUACCUAAUCAGAAAGCCACGGCUAACUACGUG
rnacentral:rRNA from 1 species